GACGAACGCUGGCGGCGUGCUUAACACAUGCAAGUGGAGCGACGAACCAGGCUUCGGCCUGGGGCAGAGCCGCGAACGGGUGAGUAACACGUGGGUAACGUGCCCCGAUGACCGGGACAACCCGGGGAAACCCGGGCUAAUACCGGAUGUGCUCCCGCCACACCAAGUGGCGGGCGGACAGCAAGCUUCGGCCCCCGCAUCGGGAUCGGCCCGCGGCCCAUUAGCUUGUUGGUGAGGUAACGGCUCACCAAGGCCGCGAUGGGUAGCUGGUCGGAGAGGACGAUCAGCCACACUGGGACUGAGACACGGCCCAGACUCCUACGGGAGGCAGCAGUGGGGAAUCUUGCGCAAUGCGCGAAAGCGUGACGCAGCAACGCCGUGUGGGGGAAGAAGGCCUUCGGGUUGUAAACCCCUUUCAGGAGGGACGAAGGUUGGGCGGUGAAUAGCCGACCUGACUGACGGUACCUCCAGAAGAAGCCCCGGCUAACUACGUGCCAGCAGCCGCCGUAACAC
rnacentral:rRNA from 1 species